CCCUUAGAUGUCCGGGGCCGCACGCGCGCUACACUGAAGGAAUCAGCGUGGCUUUCUCCCUGACCCGAAAGGGUUGGGAAACCCGUUGAAUCUCCUUCGUGAUAGGGAUUGGGGCUUGAAAUUGUUCCCCAUGAACGAGGAAUUCCCAGUAAGCGCGAGUCAUAAGCUCGCGUUGAUUACGUCCCUGCCCUUUGUACACACCGCCCGUCGCUACUACCGAUUGAACGGUUUAGUGAGGGCCUCGGAUUGGUCUCGGCCCGCUCUUUACCGCGCGGCGCCGUUGGUCGAGAAGACGCUCGAACUUGAUCGUUUAGAGGAAGUAAAAGUCGUAACA
rnacentral:rRNA from 1 species